rnacentral:rRNA from 1 species
UACAGAGGGUGCGAGCGUUAAUCGGAAUUACUGGGCGUAAAGCGUGCGUAGACGGUUAUGUAAGUCGGGUGUGAAAGCCCCGGGCUCAACCUGGGAAUUGCAUUCGAGACUGCAUAGCUAGGGUGCGGAAGAGGGAAGCGGAAUUUCCGGUGUAGCGGUGAAAUGCGUAGAUAUCGGAAGGAACAUCAGUGGCGAAAGCGGCUUCCUGGUCCAGCACCGACGUUCAGGCACGAAAGCGUGGGGAGCAAACAGG